rnacentral:rRNA from 1 species
CCGGCGACCGGCGCACGGGUGAGUAACACGUAUGGAACCUGCCCGCAGCAGGGGGAUAAGCGGAAGAAAUUCCGUCUAAUACCGCGUAACAACGUUGGGAGGCAUCUCCCGAUGUUUAAAGAUUUAUCGGCUGCGGAUGGCCAUGCGGCGCAUUAGCUAGUCGGCGGGGUAACGGCCCACCGAGGCGACGAUGCGUAGGGGUUCUGAGAGGAAGGUCCCCCACACUGGUACCGAGACACGGCCCAGACUCCUACGGAAGGCAGCAG